rnacentral:rRNA from 1 species
UACGUAGGUGGCAAGCGUUGUCCGGAUUUAUUGGGUUUAAAGGGUGCGUAGGCGGUUCCAUAAGUCAGUGGUGAAAUACGGCAGCUUAACUGUCGAGGUGCCAUUGAUACUGCGGAACUUGAGUACAGACGAGGUAGGCGGAAUUGACGGUGUAGCGGUGAAAUGCUUAGAUAUCGUCAAGAACACCGAUAGCGAAGGCAGCUUACUAGACUGUAACUGACGCUGAGGCACGAAAGUGUGGGGAUCAAACAGG